GAUGAACGCUGGCGGCGUGCCUAAUACAUGCAAGUCGAGCGAACAGACGAGGAGCUUGCUCCUCUGACGUUAGCGGGGGACGGGUGAGUAACACGUGGAUAACCUACCUAUAAGACUGGGAUAACUUCGGGAAACCGGAGCUAAUACCGGAUAAUAUAUUGAACCGCAUGGUUCAAUAGUGAAAGACGGUUUUGCUGUCACUUAUAGAUGGACCCGCGCCGCAUUAGCUAGUUGGUAAGGUAACGGCUUACCAAGGCAACGAUGCGUAGCCGACCUGAGAGGGUGAUCGGCCACACUGGAACUGAGACACGGUCCAGACUCCUACGGGAGGCAGCAGUAGGGAAUCUUCCGCAAUGGGCGAAAGCCUGACGGAGCAACGCCGCGUGAGUGAUGAAGGUCUUCGGAUCGUAAAACUCUGUUAUUAGGGAAGAACAAAUGUGUAAGUAACUAUGCACGUCUUGACGGUACCUAAUCAGAAAGCCACGGCUAACUACGUG
rnacentral:rRNA from 1 species